CCUACGGGCGGCAGCAGUGAGGAAUAUUGGUCAAUGGACGAGAGUCUGAACCAGCCAAGUAGCGUGAAGGAUGACUGCCCUAUGGGUUGUAAACUUCUUUUAUAUGGGAAUAAAAUGUUCCACGUGUGGGAUUUUGUAUGUACCAUAUGAAUAAGGAUCGGCUAACUCCGUGCCAGCAGCCGCGGUAAUACGGAGGAUCCGAGCGUUAUCCGGAUUUAUUGGGUUUAAAGGGAGCGUAGGUGGAUUGUUAAGUCAGUUGUGAAAGUUUGCGGCUCAACCGUAAAAUUGCAGUUGAAACUGGCAGUCUUGAGUACAGGAGAGGUGGGCGGAAUUCGUGGUGUAGCGGUGAAAUGCUUAGAUAUCACGAAGAACUCCGAUUGCGAAGGCAGUUCACUGGACUGCAACUGACACUGAGGCUCGAAAGUGUGGGUAUCAAACAGGAUUAGAUACCCGGGUAGUC
rnacentral:rRNA from 1 species